GUAUCGGCUGGAACAACUUUGUCAGGCGCUGCAGGUUGCAGUCAGUCUACCCCUUCUGGCAACACCCCACCACCCAGGUUGCAGAUCAUCCUUUGGCUUGUCAUUGGUAUCGUGGCCAGCAAGGUCCUGGCAAUAGUGAUCCUAGUGUUCCUCGCAAGAAGGUGGAAGAGGAUCUCCACGGUGAAGGCAUCUGGACAAUAGGCAGGAGAUACCAGGAGAGAGGCAGCUGAUGUGACAGCCUGUGCCAAAAGCAGCUCUGUGCCCCAGGUGGAAGAAGGCUCUUCCAGCAAGCCAGAGCACAAGCUACCACCCGCUGCCACCGCGCCAGCCUCACCUGAGGCCAGCCCUUAAACAUCUUCCUGCAUGCAAUACGGCCAAGGCCAAAGGGACUUUGAGAGAGGGGAAAACCAGCUUCCUACUGCCUCAGUUAAUGCGCUCCUUCUUUCCUCCUCCUCUUUCUGCUCUGCCCAUCUCCAGCCCAGCCAGCAGCCUCACCUCCUCAUCUCCUUUGGACCAGCAGA